rnacentral:snRNA from 1 species
GGAUUUGAUGGCAAUCUGGCUGCAACAUCUGUUACUCUGUUGAUCAGCAGGGUUGAUUUGUUGAUAUGGCUGGCUAGGCGGGUGUCCCCUUCCUCUCUGUGAGUCUCUCCUGAAGCUGUCCCCCUGGUGGAAGGGGACAACUUCCCUGAAAAGAGAUGGACUGGUCUUUGGUUGAGGGCAUACUAGUAGCAUAAAACUCUGGUGUGCUAUCUUUAUGAUAUCUCUCCAGUUCUGUAUCUUUUUGAAUUAAUGCCCCUAGUGGAAUUGUUAGGUCAUGUGGUAGGCUUACUUUUAAUU